rnacentral:rRNA from 1 species
AGUGGCAGACGGGUGAGUAACGCGUGGGAACGUGCCCUUCGCUUCGGAAUAGCCCCGGGAAACUGGGAGUAAUACCGGAUACGCCGUAUUGGGAAAGAUUUAUCGGCGAAGGAUCGGCCCGCGUUGGAUUAGCUAGUUGGCGGUGUAAUGGACCACCAAGGCUACGAUCCAUAGCUGGUCUGAGAGGAUGAUCAGCCACACUGGGACUGAGACACGGCCCAGACUCCUACGGGAGGCAGCAGUGGGGAAUCUUGGACAAUGGGCGCAAGCCUGAUCCAGCCAUGCCGCGUGAGUGAUGAAGGCCCUAGGGUUGUAAAAUCCUUUCGUUGGGGACGAUAAUGACAGUACCCAAAGAAGAAGCUCCGGCUAACUUCGUGCCAGAGCCGCGGUAAUACGAAGGGGGCUAGCGUUGUUCGGAAUUACUGGGCGUAAAGCGCACGUAGGCGGACUUUUAAGUCAGGUGUGAAAUCCCGGGGCUCAACCUCGGAACUGCAUUUGAAACUGGAAGUCUUGAGACCAGGAGAGGUUAGCGGAAUACCGAGUGUAGAGGUGAAAUUCGUAGAUAUUCGGUGGAACACCAGUGGCGAAGGCGGCUAACUGGACUGGUACUGACGCUGAGGUGCGAAAGUGUGGGGAGCAAACAGGAUUAGAUACCCUGGUAGUCCACGCUGUAAACGAUGAGAGCUAGUUGUCGGCA